rnacentral:rRNA from 1 species
UUCCGGUUGAUCCCGCCGGACCUGACUGCUAUCGGAUUGAUACUAAGCCAUGCGAGUCAUUGUAGCAAUACAAGGCAGACGGCUCAGUAACGCGUAGUCAACCUAACCUAUGGACGGGAAUAACCUCGGGAAACUGAGAAUAAUGCCCGAUAGAACAUUAUGCCUGGAAUGGUUUAUGUUCCAAAUGAUUUAUCGCCGUAGGAUGGGACUGCGGCCUAUCAGUUUGUUGGUGAGGUAAUGGCCCACCAAGACUAUUACAGGUACGGGCUCUGAGAGGAGUAGCCCGGAGAUGGGUACUGAGACACGGACCCAGGCCCUAUGGGGCGCAGCAGGCGAGAAAACUUUGCAAUGUGCGAAAGCACGACAAGGUUAAUCCGAGUGGUUUCUGCUAAAGGAACCUUUUGUCGGUCCUAGAAACACCGAUGAAUAAGGGGUGGGCAAGUUCUGGUGUCAGCCGCCGCGGUAAAACCAGCACCUCAAGUGGUCAGGAUGAUUAUUGGGCCUAAAGCAUCCGUAGCCUGCUUUGUUAGUUUUCGGUUAAAUCUGUACGCUCAACGUACAGGCUGCCGGGAAUACUGCAAAGCUAGGGAGUGGGAGAGGUAGACGGUACUCGGUAGGAAGGGGUAAAAUCCUUUGAUCUAUUGAUGACCACCUGUGGCGAAGGCGGUCUACCAGAACACGUCCGACGGUGAGGGAUGAAAGCUGGGGGAGCAAACCGGAUUAGAUACCCGGGUAGUCCCAGCCGUAAACCAUGCAAACUCAGUGAUGCAUUGGCUUGUGGCCAAUGCAGUGCUGCAGGGAAGCCGUUAAGUUUGCCGCCUGGGAAGUACGUACGCAAGUAUGAAACUUAAAGGAAUUGGCGGGGGAGCACCACAAGGGGUGAAGCCUGCGGUUCAAUUGGAGUCAACGCCGG